rnacentral:rRNA from 1 species
GAGUUUGAUCGUGGCUCAGAUUGAACGCUGGCGGCAUGCCUUACACAUGCAAGUCGAACGACAGCACGGGAGCUUGCUCCUGGUGGCGAGUGGCGAACGGGUGAGUAAUGCAUCGGAACGUAUCCUGGAGUGGGGGGAUAACGUAGCGAAAGUUACGCUAAUACCGCAUAUUCUGUGAGCAGGAAAGCGGGGGGACCUUCGGGCCUCGCGCUCUUGGAGCGGCCGAUGUCGGAUUAGCUAGUUGGUGAGGUAAAGGCUCACCAAGGCGACGAUCCGUAGCAGGUCUGAGAGGAUGAUCUGCCACACUGGAACUGAGACACGGUCCAGACUCCUACGGGAGGCAGCAGUGGGGAAUUUUGGACAAUGGGGGCAACCCUGAUCCAGCCAUGCCGCGUGAGUGAAGAAGGGCCUCGUGUAAGGUAGUACGUUCGUCGUACGGUAGGAAAGUAGUACG